AUACGGAGGAUCCGAGCGUUAUCCGGAUUUAUUGGGUUUAAAGGGAGCGUAGGCGGACGCUUAAGUCAGUUGUGAAAGUUUGCGGCUCAACCGUAAAAUUGCAGUUGAUACUGGGUGUCUUGAGUACAGUAGAGGCAGGCGGAAUUCGUGGUGUAGCGGUGAAAUGCUUAGAUAUCACGAAGAACUCCGAUUGCGAAGGCAGCCUGCUGGACUGUAACUGACGCUGAUGCUCGAAAGUGUGGGUAUCAAACAGGAUUAGAUACCCUGGUAGUCCACACAGUAAACGAUGAAUACUCGCUGUUUGCGAUAUACAGUAUGCGGCCAAGCGAAAGCGUUAAGUAUUCCACCUGGGGAGUACGCCGGCAACGGUGAAACUCAAAGGAAUUGGCGGGG
rnacentral:rRNA from 1 species